rnacentral:rRNA from 1 species
GAUGAACGCUGGCGGCGUGCCUAAUACAUGCAAGUCGAGCGAACGGACGAGAAGCUUGCUCCUCUGAUGUUAGCGGCGGACGGGUGAGUAACACGUGGAUAACCUACCUAUAAGACUGGGAUAACUUCGGGAAACCGGAGCUAAUACCGGAUAAUAUUUUGAACCGCAUGGUUCAAAAGUGAAAGACGGUCUUGCUGUCACUUAUAGAUGGAUCCGCGCUGCAUUAGCUAGUUGGUAAGGUAACGGCUUACCAAGGCAACGAUGCAUAGCCGACCUGAGAGGGUGAUCGGCCACACUGGAACUGAGACACGGUCCAGUCUCCUACGGGAGGCAGCAGUAGGGAAUCUUCCGCAAUGGGCGAAAGCCUGACGGAGCAACGCCGCGUGAGUGAUGAAGGUCUUCGGAUCGUAAAACUCUGUUAUUAGGGAAGAACAUAUGUGUAAGUAACUGUGCACAUCUUGACGGUACCUAAUCAGAAAGCCACGGCUAACUACGUG